CAUCGCUCCUGCCGCUCCCCUCCUCGCCGACCCUCAUCUCAGCAUGGCCAAUCCAUGCCUCUCGUCGCCCUUCUCGUCCGCCUCAUGGCCACGGUGGCCACGGUCCUUGCCACGAACGGCGUUUCCCCGCCCUUAGUCCUCCACCAGCGACCUCAUCAGCUCACAAAAAAGAUCACAUGUAUGCAUAAUAGAUUUCUCUCCAAACCCUAGAUCGCGUCUGCCACCCUCCCCAUUCGCCCCCUCCCCAUCGCUCAUCCUCUUGCACUCCAGAGGGGCCGCUGCCGGCGGUAGUGUCUUUGCUCCCCCGUCAACCUCGAGCGUCUCUGCUCCCCCGUCAACCUC
rnacentral:lncRNA from 1 species